CCGUUGUUGUUGGCGGUUCUCCGAUUCGAGCAGGGUUCGACCAGUGGUGAGAGAUUUAUUUGAAGAAAAUCCCCAACUGGACGCAAACCACGACUGAAGACGAGGGAACAGCAACAAGUGAACCAGCCCGAGGACUGAGAGCACCGACUGGAGAGAACCCAUCUGACUCGCAGAUUCCAGUGAUUCAGUCAGGAGAAAGUUUGAUCUCAACUUUCUGCAGAUUCCUCCAAAGUGAAGGCUUUUUUUUUACAUAAGAUUAAAUUUCCUCAAAUUACUGUUGAAGAUCAACAGAUGCCUGAUGCACCAGUUAUUGAGCAUUUAAUUCAGAAAACUAUGUUGUUAAUGCAUUCAGGUCAAGCUCCUGGACUUGACGUGUAUUUGGUAGGAUUUUACAUAAAAAUUGAAAGGUUACUUUCUCAUUACCUGUUGGAAAUAUUUCAUGAAUCCUUUGAGAAGGGUAGUUUACCUUCUUUUGAUGAAGCUUCUAUUUCUUUAAUCCUUAAGAAAGAUAAAAAUCCUACUGAAUGUUCAUCAUAUAGACCUAUUUCAUUAUUAAAUGUGGAUUUGAAAACUCUCUCUAAGAUUAUGGCUAACCACUUGGUAAAUAUUUCAACUAAAAUUAUCUCGAUGGAGCCAACAGGCUUUAUUAAAGGUCGUUACUGUUUCUCCAGUGUUCGGAGAUUGAUGAACAUUAUAUAUUCAUCACUAUCUAACCCAAUGUGUUAUCUCUUUCGAUGCAGAAUAGGCAUUUGAUAGAGUUGAGUGGUCAUAUUUGUUUAAAAUUUUAGGAAAUAAUUGGUUUUGGUAAUAAUUUCAAUAGGUGGAUUCAAAUGAUUUAUGAGAAUCCUAUUGCCACAGUUAUUACUAAUAAUUUCAGGUCCUUUUUUUCCCCACUUUCAGUGGCACAAGGCAGGGUUUUCCAUUAAGCCCUUCAUUAUUUAAUAUUGUACUGGAGCCUUUGGCCAUAAAACUCUGUGAAGCUAAAAAUAUUCAUGGUAUUUCUAUGAAUUGAACCAUACAUAAGAUUUAUCUUUACACAGAUGAUCUUUUGGUAAAAGAUUUUGGUAAAUUUUCAGGAUAUAAUCUUAACUUCAAUAAAAAGGGAAUUGUUUCCAUGAAAUGCCGCUGUGUUUAAAUAUAAUGAUAUUCCAUUUAGAAUUGUUCAUUCUUUUAAAUCUUUAGGUAUUAUAAUUACUAAAUAUAUAUCUUUAUAAAGAUAAUGUAGUUCCUUUAAUGGACUCCAUGAAACAACUAUUUUCUGGAUGGAAUCCACUUACUCUUGCUUUAAUAGGUCAUAUCCAUGCCGUGAAAAUGAUGAUUUUACUUAGAUUUUUAUAUAUUUUUCAAAAUAUUCCUAUCUUUUUAAAUAAAAAUAAUGAUCAAACUGACUCACUUAUUUUGUACUUCAUUUAGAACAAUAAUUUAGAACAAUGGUUUUUUAUAUUGAAAUUUUUUAUUUAAACCUUCAAUAACUCAUCCGAUUUUUCUCCUGUGGAGAAAUAAGGGGAUCCGGUCUUGUGCAGAUUUACUUUGUGAUGACCGAUUGAUGACUUUUGAAGAGUUAAUUAGCAAAUAUUCUCUCUCAUACACACUUACUGCAAUAUUUUCAGGUUUGACAUUUUUUUACAACAAUAUUUAUCUAAGUUUCUAUAUAUGGCAGAAUAUGAUUUGUUGGAUACAAUUUUGAAUUUGAAUCCAUUAGUAAGAGGUUCCAUUGGUAGAAUUUAUAAUUUAUGUUUACUAUAAAAAGAUAUCCUCUCACUAAAGAUUAAACAAGAUUGUGAGAGAGAACUUAAUAUGACCUUUGUUAAUGAAGAUUGGUUGCGAGUUCUGAAAAUAGUAAAUUCUUCUUUGAUAUGUGCCAAUCACGGUUUAAUUAAGUUUAAAAUUGUUCACUGUUAUUAUUUAACAAAGGUGAGAUAUUCAAGAUAUUUCCUGACAUAGACAAUUACUGUGAUAGGUGUUAAACUAAAAUAGCCACUUUGUCACAUAUAUUCUGGUCAUGUUCUUCAUUAAAAUCUUUUUGGAAAUCUUUGUUUUCUACAAUUUCUAAAGCUCUGAAAAUUAAUUUACAACCUAUUACAUUGACUGUACUAAUUGGAAUAGUUCCACAUCAUAUUCAGGGUAUUGCAUCUUCACAUCAACAUGUAAUUGCAUUUGUUACAUAGUUUGCAAGAAGGGCUAUGUUAUUAAAGUGGAAAGAUACCUCUGUCCCUACAUUAAUUCAAUGGUUUUCUCAAGUAAUGUUAUAUCUCGGUUUUGGAAAAAAAAAUGGAAGUAGAACUUUUGAUCCUUGAUUGGACUUUGAGAGAAGAUGGGGCUGUUUUGCCAAAUUAUUUAAUUUGUAUUAUUUUAUAUGGUUUCCUUCCAA